rnacentral:rRNA from 1 species
UAGAGUUUGAUCCUGGCUCAGGACGAACGCUGGCGGCGUGCUUAACACAUGCAAGUCGAGCGGUAAGGCCUUUCGGGGUACACGAGCGGCGAACGGGUGAGUAACACGUGGGUGAUCUGCCCUGCACUUCGGGAUAAGCCUGGGAAACUGGGUCUAAUACCGGAUAUGACCUCAUGUUGCAUGACGUGGGGUGGAAAGAUUUAUCGGUGCAGGAUGGGCCCGCGGCCUAUCAGCUUGUUGGUGGGGUAAUGGCCUACCAAGGCGACGACGGGUAGCCGACCUGAGAGGGUGACCGGCCACACUGGGACUGAGACACGGCCCAGACUCCUACGGGAGGCAGCAGUGGGGAAUAUUGCACAAUGGGCGAAAGCCUGAUGCAGCGACGCCGCGUGAGGGAUGACGGCCUUCGGGUUGUAAACCUCUUUCAGCAGGGACGAAGCGCAAGUGACGGUACCUGCAGAAGAAGCACCGGCUAACUACGUGCCAGCAGCCGCGGUAAUACGUAGGGUGCAAGCGUUGUCCGGAAUUACUGGGCGUAAAGAGUUCGUAGGCGGUUUGUCGCGUCGUUUGUGAAAACCAGCAGCUCAACUGCUGGCUUGCAGGCGAUACGGGCAGACUUGAGUACUGCAGGGGAGACUGGAAUUCCUGGUGUAGCGGUGAAAUGCGCAGAUAUCAGGAGGAACACCGGUGGCGAAGGCGGGUCUCUGGGCAGUAACUGACGCUGAGGAACGAAAGCGUGGGUAGCGAACAGGAUUAGAUAC